rnacentral:rRNA from 1 species
UACAUAAGGAGCAAGCGUUAUCCGGAAUUACUGGGCGUAAAGAGCUCGUAGGCGGUCCGAAAAGUCCGGUGUAAAAUCAUCAGGCUCAACCUGAUAAGGUCAUCGGAAACUCCCGGACUUGAGGGUAGGAGAGGAAAGUGGAAUUCCCGGUGCAGCGGUGAAAUGCGUAGAUAUCGGGAGGAACACCAGUGGCGAAGGCGGCUUUCUGGCCUAUCUCUGACGCUGAGGAGCGAAAGCUAGGGGAGCAAACAGGAUUAGAUACCCUGGUAGUCCUAGCCCUAAACUAUGGAUACUGGGUGUGGGAGGUAUCGACCCCUUCUGUGCCGCAGCUAACGCAUUAAGUAUCCCGCCUGGGGAGUACGGUCGCAAGGCUAAA